rnacentral:rRNA from 1 species
ACUGCUCCAUGUGCCUCGCGCCGGCGGCCGACGGGACGAAGGACGCGGCCACGCCGCCCUUUCCCAGACGCCCCGGUAGCGCCGCCUUCUUCUCCCCCUGAUGCCCCUCACGAGCGCCUCCGCGACGAGGACCUGCUCCAUCUCCCUCUGCUGCCCCGUUUGAGCGCCGCCGCGAUCUUGAGAUGCUCCAGCGACGCCGCCCCGAUCGAGCUCCUCUGCAACCAGCAAGACCUCCGCCUUCAUCUCCCUCGGCCGCCGCCGGUAGUACGUGUUCCUUCUUCCCUCUUCGGUCGCGGUCGAGCGACGCCACGUGCUCCAGCGACGCCGCCCCGACCUAGCUCAUUCACCUGCACGCCCUCCACUCUGGCCCCGACGACUAGGAAAGCUCAGCAUGCCGUCCCGCGUCAACUUCUCCAACGCCUGGCGGCUCAUCGGCGACACGGCCAUGAACCCCGUCGACAUAGUCUUCGGAAGGGCUUGAUGGAGAGGGAGAGGGAUCAGUUUUCGGUCAGCAUACGGGUCAUGGCUGUCAACAAUGACCACGUGUGCCUCAAUGUUAUGAAGGUCAUCCUCCAGCACUGCCAGUAUCAUGUAGCAGGAGCAAGACAGUGCCUUCUAUAUCCUCAAUUCCCUAUCUUCAAAUGCUUCAUAGCAAGGAUGGGUUCCCUUUGGUAA